rnacentral:lncRNA from 1 species
GACGCCGAUGAGUAAUCAGUUCCAUCAUUGACAUAUAAUCUGACAAGGUAGUGGCACAUGCUCUCCUCAUCGUGAUAUGAUCUAAUUGUUGUUCGCUUGAUCUUGAUGUGUCGUUUGCUGCCUGUUUGUAUUUACUUUAACUGCUCACUACAGAGUACGGUUGUCGGUAUAUACUCUCAUUCCAUGAUUUAUCUUUACUUUAACUGCUCACUUCAUCUCACAGUUGUUGGGCAGGAUGGGUUCCAUUGGCAUUGUGGUCCAGACACAAUAAUUCUUUGAAGCAGCGCCGUAGUGGAAUGAUGUAAAAAAAAGUGUGAUGUGCCACAAUUUGGAUGAAAUGAUUUCUAGCUGCUAUGAGGAACGAAGCUUAAUCGGUGACUGCACUCUUUUUAACCAAGCUUCAGUCUAAGGUAAAUGAUACCACAUAUUAUGACUCCUCUUUUUAAUCUUCUAUUUCUCAUGCUGAAGUGUUGCUAUUAAUACUUGUAUGUUAAUUUAGCUAUUGGAAUCCUUCGUCAUCUUCCUGUUUGGUUAGUAAUUAUUUGGGAGAUAAUCACUUUGGGGUUUCAGGCACCUUGGUAUGCACAUGGCAAUGCAGAGCCCAAGAAUAUGAUUCUGGACAGUAACCUGUAGUUUCAUCAACCAUACUUCUGGUCAUACUACUGUACCUACAAUCACUCUCAUUCAAAUUUUUUUAGAGGAACUGCAUUUCACCGAUCUGGACAUUCAGUUAAGGAAUUUGAAAGGUUCAGGUCAUACAUGAUUGAUAUGUGCAUUUAAUUGCAAGGUCAAAACUUUUACUGAGAUGCUUCUUUGCCCCAUUACAAGUUAUGAAUGACACACUUAUUUUCAAGUUUGACGUCUAAUUGCUCCCUUCUUCUUGAUGCAUAAUUUUCAGCAAUCAAGGUUGGUCGCUACCUUACCCUGUCCUCGCAUAGUUAAUAGAAAUCCAAUUUAAGGUUUUAUAAUUAAAUACAACGCCAAGAAGUACUACCGCGGGCAUCAUGUGUGCUUGAAACAAAUCUUCUCUUUUUCUAAAAGAGUGGUAUCAGUUUGUUCGGAAUUAGAAUAUUCCUCUUUUUGAAACACUCACAUGUCUUUUGAUUAUUCUAACCUGGGACUAAGUACAGUUGGAUGCAAGCUUGAUAUGUAAGUACGUCUUAGUUUAAUUAUUAGUCCUUGACCAUGAGCAAGAAUCUAGCUAGAUGGGCUUUCAUGUUACACAUAUAUGCUUGUUACUGUUUUGCGAGCUAAUAUCUAUUAAUUAAUUAGUUAGAUGCUUGAAUUAACCUGUACUAACUAUUAUUGGUUAUCACCGUCCACCGUCUUCGUUUGGUUGUAAGUUGUUGACCAUUAGCAAGAAGCUAGCUAAUUGUGUGUGCAUGCCACACACGUGCACAUAUAUCAGUUGUUGCGAGUUAAGAUCAUCUGCCAACUACCUUUAUAUGUAAUUGUGUGCUGCAUUCUCACUGCUUCCAGUAGAUACUAUCAUUUCAGAGUUCACCUAAAAUUUGCAAUGUUCAAAUUUUUGGGAUCAAAAUACAACUUUUUUUAAAUUUAAGCCAAUAUAAAGUGUGUGCAGGUUGAAUUUUAAACUAUUUUUGCUUACAAGAAGCUUAUCAGUUGUAAUGUUUAGCACCUACAUAACCUGAUGGUCUUGUAGUGACUUGGGAUUGGCGAUUAAAGAAACAUGGGUAUCGAGCAUAUUAAUGUGAGAAGUAGAUAUACAAUAUGUUAUAAAGGAGAAGACAAGUAAAUAUUGAGUGUGAAAGAUAAGUAUGAUUUUUUUACUAUCAUAUGAAUUAUUGAAUUUAAUCUGGUAUUCAACCCCUCAAAAUUAGAUUUAAUACAUGCUACUACACCAUUACUUAUCUCUACUAUUAAAGGAGAAUUUGACAAGUAAUCAAGCAAGUCAGCACUAUCGUCGAUGGAAGUUGACAAGUAAGUUUCUCCAUGAAGCUGAUCUGAUGUGAAGCUUGUGCCAGAUAAAAGGUUAAUUGAGUUCUCAUCUCCAAUAUGUGUGCAUUCUAACUAUCCUUGUUGAUUCAGUGGUUCCAUGAUGCUACAUUUCACUUGUUUUUCACCUCUUGAUGCUACUAUGGACAGAAGGCGUUUGCUAAUUUGCACUUUAAUUUAUUUUCUGAUAAACUGUGCCAAUAUCACCUGCAUUAUGAUUUUUAAAUUAUUGAUCCCUGCUAUAAUGUAACGUGCCCACAUAACAAGUAUUCCGCAAUCUUCGCAAGCAUGUAUUUGUAUGUCUAACUGUAGGUGGAAGAACAAGAUCCACUGUGUGUGCAACGGCAACAAUAAAUAUCAUGUCAUUAGGGAGACUUCUGAUAAUUCUACUCUGCAUUUUUUUUUGCUUUAGUAGAAGUGUUCUGCCGCAUUAUUCAACUAUGUGUGAC